rnacentral:rRNA from 1 species
UACGGAGGGCGCAAGCGUUGUUCGGAAUCACUGGGCGUAAAGCGCGUGUAGGCGGCCGGGCAAGUCGGAUGUGAAAUCCCGAGGCUCAACCUCGGAACUGCAUUCGAAACUGCCUGGCUCGAGUCCCGGAGAGGGUGGCGGAAUUCCCGGUGUAGGGGUGAAAUCCGUAGAUAUCGGGAGGAACACCAGUGGCGAAGGCGGCCACCUGGACGGUGACUGACGCUGAGACGCGAAAGCGUGGGGAGCAAACAGG